CCCCAUAUCAGAAUCAAAAACCCAAAUUCCCAAAUUUCUCAAAACCCCUAAAUACCUAAGCCACCGUCGCACUCACUAUCGCCAGACAGUCAUCUGACCGCCGUGUAGAUCACCGCCCUUAUCAAAGUGAUCGGCAACCUCUCACGACCAAAAUCCCUCUAACCCUCUUGCCUGGGUACGCCGUCGUUUUCCGUGAAGAAGAGUUUGAACGUUGUGUCAAAAUCCCUAGCUUUCACAGUUGUUUUCGUCGAUUAUGGCCACCAUAGUCGGUGUUUCGUGCUUCCCUUGUUGUUUCGAGCGAAACCCAACCGACGAUGUUUCUAAUCGUCUCGUUUUUCUCCGGUCGUCGUCGCCUUUGGAGUAAUUGGGUCGCCUCAAUUGGCGUUUUGACCGCGGCACGCGGAUGCCAAUGCGCGUGGGGAUUCUCGGUCGAUCCAGGAGCCUUCUGGAACCGGCUUGCUCAGACCGAACCAGUCCAGUCACACCGAACUGAGUCAACUCGACUGGUUGAGUCAACUUGACUGGUUGAGUCAACUUGACUAAGUCAACCUAUUGUCUUUGACCAAACCUGACUGUUGAUUUUAAGCAAACCUGACCGAACCUAGCUCCUCUUGAUUUGUUCGACCCUUGAGCCCGUGAAUACCCGUUCAAACAUUGUUGUGGAGCAUAGAGAGGCAUGUGCUCAGUAGACUCAGAGACUGAUCCCCUUUUUGCAAGAUGUGUUCCAUAUGUGAUAUAUGAAUGUUUUAUCUAUUUUGAAAAAUAUGAUUUGUUAUCUGGUUGGUUUACGAAUAUUUUAACUGUUCGACAUUCUGAUUUACUGAUUUAUUGUUUAUGAACUAUGGCUACUUGCACUCUAGUUACCUAUUUUCAUUGAGAAAU